UGGAUUAGGCAUGCAAGUCGAACGCGAAAGAGGGGGCAACCCCUUUAGUAGAGUGGCGAACGGGUGAGUAACGCGUGAAGAACCUGCCUUCAACAGGGGGAUAACACUCCCAACGGGGUGCUAAUACCGCAUGAGACCACGGACUCGCAUGUUUCCGAGGUCAAAGGUGGCCUCUGCUUGCAAGCUACCGGUUGAAGAUGGCUUCGCGUCCCAUUAGCUAGUUGGCGGUGUAAAAGACCACCAAGGCGACGAUGGGUAGCUGGUCUGAGAGGAUGGUCAGCCACACUGGGACUGAGAUACGGCCCAGACUCCUACGGGAGGCAGCAGUCGAGAGGCUUUGGCAAUGGGGGAAACCCUGACCAAGCGACGCCGCGUGGAGGAUGAAGGCCCUUGGGUUGUAAACUCCUUUUGCUGGGGAAGAAAUGCGAUCAGGUGAACAAUCUGGUCGUUUGACGGUACCCAGCGAAUAAGCUCCGGCUAACUCCGUGCCAGCAGCCGCGGUAACACGGGGGGAGCAAGCGUUGUUCGGAAUCACUGGGCGUAAAGGGCGUGUAGGCGGACAGGUAAGUGGGAUGUGAAAUGCCCCGGCUCACCCGGGGACCGGCAUCCCAAACUGCCUGGCUUGAGUAUGGGAGAGGAUGAGGGAAUUCCUGGUGUAGCGGUGAAAUGCGUAGAUAUCAGGAGGAACACCGGUGGCGAAGGCGCUCAUCUGGCCCAAUACUGACGCUGAGGCGCGAAAGCUAGGGGAGCAAACGGGAUUAGAUACCCCGGUAGUCCUAGCCGUAAACGGUGAUCACUAGGUGUUGGAGGCAUCGACCCCUCCAGUGCCGCAGCUAACGCAUUAAGUGAUCCGCCUGGGGAGUACGGCCGCAAGGUUGAAACUCAAAGGAAUUGACGGGGGCUCACACAAGCGGUGGA
rnacentral:rRNA from 1 species